ACCUGGGUGGCUAAGUUGGUUGAGCGUCUGACUUCAGCUCAGGUCAUGAUCUCACAGCUCAUCUGUGGGUUCAAGCCCCAUGCCGGGCU
rnacentral:tRNA from 1 species